UUUUGAAUGACAAUCCCAUUAUUUUUUCGCUUCUUAGGACCUGGGAAGUUGUUGGAAUGCUUUUGGCUAUAAUGCUAAUCAUCUGUAUUGUUCCCCGCAUAAUAGGCUAAUAAAUCAAUUUGUUUAUACUAUUAGGAUCUUAUUUUAUUUCACUUUAUUUUCCUUUUAAUGCACUUAUAUGGAACGGUAGCUUGAAUACCCAUUACUUUGUUUAUUAGUGGGAUUUGGGUCAUUAAUGUCCUUCAUUUUUUUUAGUUCGACCCAGUUUAUUUUGCCAUAUAUUAUUAUAAGAGUUGAAUUGACAAAUUGUCUUGGAUGUAUUAUUACUCUUAUCAUUUCCGGGCACUAAUUCUUAUUUUCCUUUCUUGCAUGUGAAAUCUGUCCGAGUUCAUCACGAACUCCUAUUUCCUUAUCCCGCAUUUCGUGAGAGCCAUAAAGGCCCAAACUCCUUUAUUCGAGUCAUCCGGCCUAUAAAAAUCGACGAACAGGUCCAGAAGUCGAAAGGAGCAACAAAAUCGAGAAAAUUGAGAAAUUUGGGCCAAAGGCCCAUUCUUAAUUCAAUUUGUAUUUUGUUAUUCUGGGCCUGAGCCCACUUAUUUGCUAUUAUUUGUUUAUCUUUUAGGACAGGUGGCGAAAAUUGGGCCAAGGCCCAAAACGAAAUUAGGCCCAAGUGUUGGUCCAGGCGGACAGAAAAACCAAACUUGGGCCCGAGUCUCUCUCCCUCUUUGUUUUUAUUAUUAUGUUUAUUUACUUG
rnacentral:lncRNA from 1 species